rnacentral:rRNA from 1 species
GGGGUUUGGUGACCAGCGGAGGGAUCAUUACAGAGUUUACAACUCCCAAACCCUUAUGUGAACAUACCAAGAUGUUGCUUCGGCGGACUCGCCCCGGCGUCCGGACGGCCUAGCGCCGCCCGCGGCCCGGACUCAGGCGGCCGCCGGAGACCACCAAACUCUUUUGUAUCAUGAGUAUCUUCUGAAUCCGCCGCAAGGCAAAACAAAUGAAUCAAAACUUUCAACAACGGAUCUCUUGGUUCUGGCAUCGAUGAAGAACGCAGCGAAAUGCGAUAAGUAAUGUGAAUUGCAGAAUUCAGUGAAUCAUCGAAUCUUUGAACGCACAUUGCGCCCGCCAGCAUUCUGGCGGGCAUGCCUGUUCGAGCGUCAUUUCAACCCUCGACUUCCCUUUGGGGAAAUCGGCGUUGGGGACCGGCAGCAUACCGCCGGCCCCGAAAUGGAGUGGCGGCCCGUCCGCGGCGACCUCUGCGUAGUAAUCCAACCUCGCACCGGAACCCCGACGUGGCCACGCCGUAAAACACCCCACUUUCUGAACGUUGACCUCGGAUCAGGUAGGAAUACCCGCUGAACUUAAGCAUAUCAUAAAAGCGGAGGA